CCUUUGUGUGUGUGUGUGUGCGCGCCCGCGCACGCGUGUUUUAAAUUGUUUUUAUUUUUUACUGUUUUGCAAAAUAUUCUGUAAUCGGGUGUUUCCCUCGUGCACCAGCUUAGCUAGGUUUUGUGGUUCAAAUUUCAGCAAAGUACAACCCCUUGUCAAAAAAGUGAAUAUCUCAUGUUAAUGAGUCAUGUUGUUUAGGUGUAGUGAAUAUUGCUGUUAACAGUACAGUCGUCAUAAUUCUAGUCCUUCUAUGAGUUGUAAUUAGGAAUAGUGAAUAUUGAUGGCUGAGGGAGGGGGGAAGUGUGGAUGAGGUAGAGAAGUGCGUUUGCGCAUCCUAUGGUCAAUUUAUGCAUACUAAAUAGAUAUUGAAAGAAAUUGGCUACAUGGCCUGCUGUGAGGAGAUGGUGUUUUGGUAUGAGGAUAAUAGUUUCUGUUGAUAAAUAUAACAACAGAGGUGGGGCCAUAUGGUGGCCUGAAUAAGCAGAGGAUAUGUUCUUUUUAAACUUGGCUGUUUUCCAUAUGUCGUUUGGUAAACUUGGAUUACAGAUCAUUGAAAUAUCAACUGUGUUUU
rnacentral:misc_RNA from 1 species